AUAUAAGCCUUAUCAUAUAUUAAAAAAAAAAGAGAGGAUAGUAAUUUCCCUAACUUUACCCUAAUAUUACAGAUUUCGAAUAGAAAACAGACAGAUCAGAGAAAUAUAAUCAAUCAAAUCUAACGAACUGGAGUACUAUAGUUCUCGUCUAUGAU